AGUGAACGCUGGCGGUAGGCCUAACACAUGCAAGUCGAACGGCAGCACAGUAAGAGCUUGCUCUUACGGGUGGCGAGUGGCGGACGGGUGAGGAAUACAUCGGAAUCUACUUUUUCGUGGGGGAUAACGUAGGGAAACUUACGCUAAUACCGCAUACGACCUACGGGUGAAAGCAGGGGAUCUUCGGACCUUGCGCGAUUGAAUGAGCCGAUGUCGGAUUAGCUAGUUGGCGGUGGAAAGGCCCACCAAGGCGACGAUCCGUAGCUGGUCUGAGAGGAUGAUCAGCCAGACUGGAACUGAGACACGGUCCAGACUCCUACGGGAGGCAGCAGUGGGGAAUAUUGGACAAUGGGCGCAAGCCUGAUCCAGCCAUACCGCGUGGGUGAAGAAGGCCUUCGGGUUGUAAAGCCCUUUUGUUGGGAAAGAAAAGCAGCAGGUUAAUACCCCGCUGUUCUGACGGUACCCAAAGAAUAAGCACCGGCUAACUUCGUG
rnacentral:rRNA from 1 species